CUUUGACAGAGGUAGGAGGAGCACCAGGAAAGAGCAGUAUCCCGAAGACCAAGAUUACGGAGAAUCUUUCUCCGUAAUCUUGGUCUUCGGGAUACUGCCCUUUCCUGGUGCUCCUCCUACCUCUUCCAGCAC
rnacentral:miRNA from 1 species